CUUGGUCAUUUAGAGGAAGUAAAAGUCGUAACAAGGUUUCCGUAGGUGAACCUGCGGAAGGAUCACUAGUGAUUAAAUCGAGCGUGUCUUCAUUGACCGCUCACCCUUCUCACCAUCCACAUACACCUGUGCACUGUUUAGCCUGAGCCGGUUUUCCGGUCCAGGUUAUCAUUUCAUACAAACUCUAGUCUUAUGAAUGUAAACGUUUUAAUAACAUAAUAAAACUUUCAACAACGGAUCUCUUGGUUCUGGCAUCGACGAAGAACGCAGCGAAAUGCGAUAAGUAAUGUGAAUUGCAGAAUUCAGUGAAUCAUCGAAUCUUUGAACGCACCUUGCGCCUUUUGGUAUUCCGAAAGGCAUGCCUGUUUCAGUGUCAUGAAAUCUCAAUCUAAUAUGUUUUCUGAACAUGUUAGGCUUGGACUUGGGUGUCUGCCAGCAAUGGCUCACCUCAAAUGACUUAGUGGAACAUCCCACAUCAGUGUUAGACGUAAUAAGUUUCGUCUCUCCUUGUGGUGAUGACUGCUCAAAACCUGCCAUCGCGCACCUUUUGACUUUGACCUGAAAUCAGGUAGGGCUACCCGCUGAACUUAAGCAUAUCAAUAAGCGGAGGAAAAGAAACUAACAAGGAUUCCCCUAGUAACGGCGAGUGAACCGGGAAGAGCUCAAAUUUGAAAUCUGGCGUGCUCAGUGCGUCCGAGUUGUAAUCUAUAGAGUCGUUUUCCGUGCCGGACUGUGUCCAAGUCCCUUGGAACAGGGUAUCAAAGAGGGUGAUAAUCCCGUACUUGACACAAUGACCGGUGCUCUGUGAUACGUCUUCUACGAGUCGAGUUGUUUGGGAAU
rnacentral:sRNA from 1 species